rnacentral:rRNA from 1 species
UACGAAGGGGGCUAGCGUUGCUCGGAAUACUGGGCGUAAGGCGUGCGCAGGCGGCUUUGCAAGACAGAUGUGAAAUCCCCGGGCUCAACCUGGGAACUGCAUUUGUGACUGCAUGGCUAGAGUACGGUAGAGGGGGAUGGAAUUCCGCGUGUAGCAGUGAAAUGCGUAGAUAUGCGGAGGAACACCGAUGGCGAAGGCAAUCCCCUGGACCUGUACUGACGCUCAUGCACGAAAGCGUGGGGAGCAAACAGG